AAGAUUUUAGGAUAUUUAAAUCCUUUAACCUUCAAAGUUAAAAAUAUAAUUUUUUUAUAAAUCUUA
rnacentral:tRNA from 1 species